ACUGUGUCGUAUGGCCAGCUUUGACGCUGCCGUUGGUUGUUGCUGCGUUUCGGUUCGGUUCGAUUCGUUUCAGUCCACUUUAAGCUUCCGGCGCAGGCGGUUGAGUUCGGUGCUCGGUUCGUCAGCUCUCGCUUCGUCGUUGCGCUCGAUUCACAGCUGAGUGGCGGCUCUGCUGUGCCGAUGUCUAUGUGUUUGUGCCUUAUUUUUUAUUGUUAGUAUUUUCUGUUUCGGUGUCUUUCCGUUGGCAUCCAGCAAAGACGCCCUCAACAUUUUUGAAUUUUUUUAAACGAAUUUCCAUAAUGAAAAAUGUUUGUGUACAUGCUUUUUUUUUGUUGUUGUUGUGAGUGAAUGAAAACUUUUUGCUGUGCGAAAAAGCAAACAGCACGAGGCUGAAGAAAAAUCACAGAAUGUUGUAGUCCAUUGGAAAAUAUUUUGUAAAACUAUGCGCGCGGCGGCGCGUUGCGAAUGCGAAAUGAAAUGUUCUAAAAAUAAAAUGCAAACAACAAACAAACAAAACUACAAAAGCAACAAAAAGCAAAUAAACCUGCGACUCGCAACGCGCACAGACCCCAAAAACUGAGGCGAAAAAAAAAACAACAAAAUUUAAAAUAAACCAAAAAAAACACGCGAAAACUGGGCAAUUCACACACAAAUACACACAUACACACUCGCAUAGAUCAUCAUCUUCAAACUCAACUGGGCUAUAAAUUUAGCAAAGGCAAACGGAGCAAAAUAUUUUUCUACAAAGGAAAAUUCGAAAACGUAUCAGAAAAGAGAAUAUAAUAAAAAGGAAUAUUUGAAUAAAACCGCCCACAAACGCACGCGGCGCGUUUUGUGCGCGUUUAAAACCGCGUCGACUGCGUGGAGCAGCAGAAGAAGAAGAAGCCGAAGCAAAAUUAAAAGAAAAUAUAAAACGAAAUUAGGGAAAUGAGCGCUUGACACCAUUCCUGAAGGCGUAACGCGGCAUGGGAAUUGAGGCGUGGCAGCGCCUAAGCGCCCAAAAACUUGGCCAACACACACCGGAAAGUCGAGCAAGUGUUGUUGUUGUUGUCGUUGUUAGUUAACCGUUUAUGGCUAUAAGCGCAUCCGGAUUAGCUUCUGUGACACUAUGCCAAAGGUAGCAAAGGUGGAAGCAAUGGGGCAGUGGCUUGAGCAGGGGAGAGGUGGGGAGGGGGGUAUUUAUAUGGAAAUCAGAAUAGCAACUGUAAUGGCAAACUAUGUCAGCCACAUUUGGCCAAGUUAGCAACCAAAAAAAAAAAA